rnacentral:rRNA from 1 species
GAUGAACGCUGGCGGCGUGCCUAAUACAUGCAAGUCGAGCGAACAGACGAGGAGCUUGCUCCUCUGACGUUAGCGGCGGACGGGUGAGUAACACGUGGAUAACCUACCUAUAAGACUGGGAUAACUUCGGGAAACCGGAGCUAAUACCGGAUAAUAUAUUGAACCGCAUGGUUCAAUAGUGAAAGACGGUUUUGCUGUCACUUAUAGAUGGAUCCGCGCCGCAUUAGCUAGUUGGUAAGGUAACGGCCUACCAAGGCAACGAUGCGUAGCCGACCUGAGAGGGUGAUCGGCCACACUGGAACUGAGACACGGUCCAGACUCCUACGGGAGGCAGCAGUAGGGAAUCUUCCGCAAUGGGCGAAAGCCUGACGGAGCAACGCCGCGUGAGUGAUGAAGGUCUUCGGAUCGUAAAACUCUGUUAUUAGGGAAGAACAAAUGUGUAAGAAACUAUGCACGUCUUGACGGUACCUAAUCAGAAAGCAACGGCUAACUACGUG